CCAGCAGUGGCGGUUCUGUCUACAGGUUCUGUCUGCUUCCCACUUAACAGACCCAUUUUGGCUUUCUAUCACUCAAAGACAGGGUUUCCCAGGCUGGAGUGCAUGGUGCAGUCAUAGCUCAUUGUAACCUCGAGCUCCUGGGCUCAAGUGAUUCUCCUGCCCCAGCUUCCCAAGUAGCUAGGACUACAGAACCAAGGUGGGAAGCUGGCAGUGCUUGGUUCAUGUCACAUGUUCAGUGAUCAAUAUUUGGACAAAGAAGAAAACAGCAAAAUCAUGGAUGUUGUUUUCCAGUGGCUCACGACAGGAGACAUCCACCUAAACCAGAUUGAUGCUGAGGACCCAGAGAUUUCUGACUACAUGAUGCUGCCCUACACAGCCACCCUAUCAAAGCGGAAUCGAGAGUGUCUCCAGGAGAGUGAUGAGAUCCCAAGGGACUUUACCACCCUCUUUGACCUGUCCAUCUUCCAGCUGGAUACCACCUCCUUCCACAGCGUCAUCGAGGCUCACGAGCAGCUAAAUGUGAAACAUGAACCACUCCAGCUCAUCCAGCCUCAGUUUGAGACGCCGCUGCCAACCCUUCAGCCUGCGGUUUUUCCUCCCAGUUUCCGGGAGUUACCACCUCCUCCUCUGGAGCUAUUUGAUUUAGAU
rnacentral:sRNA from 1 species